UUGGAUCCAGACUUUGAUCAUGGCUCAGGAUGAACGCUGGCGGCGUGCCUAACACAUGCAAGUCGAGCGAUUUACUUCGGUAAAGAGCGGCGGACGGGUGAGUAACGCGUGGGUAACCUGCCCUGUACACACGGAUAACAUACCGAAAGGUAUGCUAAUACGAGAUAAAAUACUUUUAUCGCAUGGUAGAAGUAUCAAAGCUUUUGCGGUACAGGAUGGACCCGCGUCUGAUUAGCUAGUUGGUAAGGUAACGGCUUACCAAGGCGACGAUCAGUAGCCGACCUGAGAGGGUGAUCGGCCACAUUGGAACUGAGACACGGUCCAAACUCCUACGGGGGGCAGCAGUGGGGAAUAUUGCACAAUGGGCGAAAGCCUGAUGCAGCAACGCCGCGUGAGCGAUGAAGGCCUUCGGGUCGUAAAGCUCUGUCCUCAAGGAAGAUAAUGACGGUACUUGAGGAGGAAGCCCCGGCUAACUACGUGCCAGCAGCCGCGGUAAUACGUAGGGGGCUAGCGUUAUCCGGAAUUACUGGGCGUAAAGGGUGCGUAGGUGGUUUCUUAAGUCGGAGGUGAGAGGCUACGGCUCAACCGUAGUAAGCCUUUGAAACUGGGAAACUUGAGUGCAGGAGAGGAGAGUGGAAUUCCUAGUGUAGCGGUGAAAUGCGUAGAUAUUAGGAGGAACACCAGUUGCGAAGGCGGCUCUCUGGACUGUAACUGACACUGAGGCACGAAAGCGUGGGGAGCAAACAGGAUUAGAUACCCUGGUAGUCCACGCCGUAAACGAUGAGUACUAGCUGUCGGAGGUUACCCCCUUCGGUGGCGCAGCUAACGCAUUAAGUACUCCGCCUGGGAAGUACGCUCGCAAGAGUGCAACUCAAAUGAAUUGACGGA
rnacentral:rRNA from 1 species